CCUACGGGAGGCUGCAGUGGGGAAUAUUGGACAAUGGGGGGAACCCUGAUCCAGCCAUGCCGCGUGUGUGAAGAAGGCCCUCGGGUUGUAAAGCACUUUCAGUGAGGAAGAACGCCUGGUGGUUAAUACCCAUCAGGAAAGACAUCACUCACAGAAGAAGCACCGGCUAACUCCGUGCCAGCAGCCGCGGUAAUACGGAGGGUGCGAGCGUUAAUCGGAAUUACUGGGCGUAAAGCGCGCGUAGGUGGCUUGAUAAGCCGGUUGUGAAAGCCCCGGGCUCAACCUGGGAACGGCAUCCGGAACUGUCGAGCUAGAGUGCAGGAGAGGAAGGUAGAAUUCCCGGUGUAGCGGUGAAAUGCGUAGAGAUCGGGAGGAAUACCAGUGGCGAAGGCGGCCUUCUGGACUGACACUGACACUGAGGUGCGAAAGCGUGGGUAGCAAACAGGAUUAGAUACCCCUGUAGUC
rnacentral:rRNA from 1 species